rfam:Bombyx mori DNA, contig: Bm_scaf80_contig32723, strain: p50T/Dazao, build 2, whole genome shotgun sequence.
AAAAUUCAAAUUUGUCUGGAGUUGGAACGUUUACCUACGUUUGCCGCUAAGGUCGUAAUUCCAACUGCAUACAAAUUUUAAUUA